UCGGGAAUUUUGGGCAAUGGGCGAAAGCCUGACCCAGCAACGCCGCGUGAAGGAUGAAAUCCCUCGGGAUGUAAACUUCGCAAGAACGGGAAGAAUAAGGAAGAGUUAACACCUCUUUCGAUGACGGUACUGUUUGUAAGCUCCGGCUAACUCCGUGCCAGCAGCCGCGGUAAUACGGGGGGAGCAAGCGUUGUUCGGAUUUACUGGGCGUAAAGGGCGCGUAGGCGGCCACUGCAAGUCAAUUGUGAAAUCUCCGGGCUUAACUCGGAAAGGUCAACUGAUACUGCAGGGCUAGAGUGCAGAAGGGGCAACUGGAAUUCUCGGUGUAGCGGUGAAAUGCGUAGAUAUCGAGAGGAACACCUGCGGCGAAGGCGGAUUGCUGGGCUGACACUGACGCUGACAGUGCGAAAGCUAGGGGAGCGAA
rnacentral:rRNA from 1 species